AUGGCCGCGGUAUUUUGACCGUGCAAAGGUAGCAUAAUCAUUAGUUUUUUAAUUGAAAGCUGGAAUGAAUGGUUGGACAAGAAAGUUUCUGUCUCUAGUUGAUUUUUUAGAAUUUUAUUUUUUAGUAAGAAAGCUUAAAUUUUUUUAAGGGACGAGAAGACCCUAUAGAAUUUAACGUAUAUAAAGGUUUUCAAUUUUUAGAAUUAUUAUUUUGUGAUUUAUUUUAUAUGUUUUGUUGGGGUGAUAGAAAAAUUUAAAUAACUUUUUUUUGUUUCAAUCAUUAAUUAAUGAAUAUUUGAUCCAUUUGUUGUGAUUAUAAGAUUAAAUUACCUUAGGGAUAACAGC
rnacentral:rRNA from 1 species